rnacentral:rRNA from 1 species
UACGGGGGGGGGCAAGCGUUGUUCGGAAUUACUGGGCGUAAAGGGCUGGUAGGCGGCCAACUAAGUCGGAUGUGAAAUCCCCAGGCUUAACCUGGGAACUGCAUCCGAUACUGGUCGGCUUGAAUCCGGGAGAGGGAUGCAGAAUUCCAGGUGUAGCGGUGAAAUGCGUAGAUAUCUGGAGGAAUACCGGUGGCGAAGGCGGCAUCCUGGACCGGCAUUGACGCUGAACAGCGAAAAGCUAGGGGAGCAAACGGG